ensembl:lncRNA
AUCAUAAUCAAAAGGUAUGGUUGAUAUUUUCUACUACUAUUUGCAUGUUCCUUCAUCAUCACGUGUUAAUUGUAGAAAUGCACGUUAUUACUGUAUACACACAGUCGGCGGUCACGUUGUGACCCCCCGGGGGACAUUGAUGGUUGAAGGCCGGCUCAGUUGCUGUCACAGUGCUUCUGGUGACACAACGUGUUUGGCCUCCGUGACUCGAUCAGCUCCGUAUCGGUGAUUUGAUCCCAGUAAGAACGGUUGAAAUGACUGAAGGAAAUGAUGAGAACCCCCAGAAAAGAUUUUAAAGUAAUUCAAUUAUUAUCUGAAGUUACCUCCUUGUAAUUGUAAAGCAGAAGGAUGAAACCAGGGUCGAUGGAUUGUUUGCUUUCUGAAAUAUGUAAUCAACAAAUCUCUUUUUUAUGCUUUUGUAAAUUAAACAAUGAUGAACUAAUUCUUAUUAUUACAUGUCUCUACUAUCUGUCAUAAUUAUUAUCAUGACAUGUCAGCCCUUAAGAUUCAAAACAGUUAUUGUCAUACAGUUUAACAAGGUACUUAUGUUGCUAUGCCCUCCUUCCACAUAAUUAAUAAUUAAUUAAUCACAAACUAAAGGAGAAAAAAAUGUACACACCCACACUAAAGAGAAAAAGCUAUAAAUAUAUACACGUGCAUUAGCCUAUUAGGCACCGGGCUUAAUGCAUCUUGGGAGAUUAUUGGUUCGGGGUUAUGCCCGUGUCAGCAUUUGUUUGUGGCUGUGUGACUGUGUAUCAGCCUUGUGUGUGUGUGUGUGUGUUUCCUUUGCGUGUCUGUGUGAGAUGCCCCAGUUUAACCAGCAGAACUUGCCGCUGGUUUGUGUUCACAGCGUGUGACGCCAAUGCAGGGACGUCCCGCACGCACACACUCGCACAGCCGAGGCGAUACAGUGCGGCAAUAAGCGGGUUUUAGAUCUGUGGGAUUUAACAACAACAGACGACCUCCUCUGUGUUAAGAGAGUCGGCUGCAGCUGUGAUCCGUUUUUUGUUCAAUCCAUUUUAUUGAGGUAAUUCUUCUCUCACGCUCGGCUGUGAUUGACUCACAUUUCUCGAAGAAAGGCCAACAGUUUAACUUUCUUGGGUAUGUUGUCCUCUUGCAGGUGGGUUUCCAUUAUUAAACAGUGGAACCGAAAAAAAGUUAAUCGCGUAAAGCAGGAAAUCGAGUUAGACAGUUUAAUUAUUUGGUAAUUUGUUUAUAAUUUGUAAAUACAAAGUUCAUUUAAUAUUAUUUAUACAUACAGUAUAAGUUCAGAAUUGACAAACAUCUGUCCCGUGGGGUUACACCGUAUCUUUCACAUGAGUGCCACUAAUUAUGGAAUCCCCACAAAAAUAUGAUAUAAUUGGUCGCUACGGGCUUCAGCCAACUGUCUCCACACUAUUGUUUGGCUUAAUUGAGUGACGCUGUUGCCGUAACAACAGGAUUAGCUGCCGCCGCUGUCAAUACCCGCGGCCGCCAUGAAGAUUACAAACGUCAUUAAUCUGAAAUUAUUCACAGUUGUCAUUAAUCUAAAAUUAUUCUCGUGCCAGAUGGAGCUUUUCCUCCGUUUGGAUCCGCGUUGCGCCGCUCACGACGAGAUCUCACAGAACAACGGAUUCUCCACAUGGUGACACACCAAGUCACUCCUCAUCUGCCAGUCACGAUCACCAGGAAACCCACGAGUCGGGUUGAGGAAAAGAUCGUCUUCUUAUACGUCUUUGUUCAGAAUUAAGUGGCAAACAUACGGAAUAUAUCUCGUGGGAUAUCUACCAAUGAUUCAUUCUUCUUGCAGGAUGAGGCCGGUCUUUACAGACACCGCUGAAUUGACCUUGACCUCUCUACAGGGAAUCACGUGGCCUGUAAAGCCACACACAUUACAACAUUAGGUCGAAUACUUCAACAUGUCACUUCUUCAUAAUCCACAUUUGUUGAUAUGUGUUUUUUCUGUUUUCUUUUGUAUUUUCCUGCUUCUCGUGUCCCUGAUUUAACUUCACUUUAUGCUCUGGUGGUUUUUUUGCCCCUCUGUGAUCGUCUGCCUUGUCCGUUAUUGUUUCCUCCGGUGUGCAAUCACCUGCACCUCGCCAGUGAUUUCAACCACGUGCGUCUGAGUCCAUCUCCUGUUCCUUGCAUGUCCAGCUGUAUAACCACUCGUAGGCCUCAGCUGGAGGGCGACUGUGGGUGAGUGAGGAGCACGGUGGUCCUCCAAUCAGAGGGUUGUCGGUUCGAUCCCAGGCUCUGCUAACCCGCAUGGGCAAGACACUUAACCCGACAUUGCUCCCGUAGCUGCGACUACAGUGUGUGAAUGUUAGUAACUGAUGGGCAGGUGUCACUGUGUGUGGUUCUCCUGUCAUCAGUGUGUGAAUCGGUGAAUGAUGUCAUGUAGUGUUAAAGCGCUUUGAGUGGUCAGAAGACUAGAAAAAGAGCGAGGAACCAUUAUACUUUUCUAAACCUAUUUUCCCCUUUCUCUUCCCACAGGCUAUGAAAUGCACAAGGCCAGUGAAUCACCUGCUGAUCACAUGAUGUGUUUGAUAAUAUGUGUGUUUUAACCUUUUUUUUCCACUAAAACCCCGGUAGAUCAAUAAGAAACACAUUCAAUACUUCCCUCUUUCUAAAAGCAAAGACCUUGCUGACCUGUCCCGUUCACAUCCUCCACUCCGGUUAGAAUUCAAAUGGACUGUAAAAAAAAGGAGUACUCAUGCAUAUAAUUCAUACAUUAAACACAAGCGCCACACCAUUCUUGAGGUGUUGUGUUCUUUUUUUUGUUGGAAAAUAUUCCUCUCCAGGUGUAUCGCGUAUGGAUGAAUGAACGAGUUCCACGGAGAUCAGGCGCUACCGAUAUGCAAAUGUGGUGACUAAUCGCUCCCAAAAUAAGAAUGACCAGCAUCAGCAGGAUUCAUCCUUCGUGGGGAAACAACGCGGCUGAACGCUACAGUUUGACCUACAUGGGCUCGCCAAGGCGCUUAACGGGUUAUUCAGCGAUGGACCUGCUGAUCGCCCCGAGCUCAUGCCCGCAGCCUUUGACGUUAACAUCUGCUUCACCUUGUUGAGGUCAGGCAGGUUUUCGCAGGCAGCUGCAUCAAAGAGCAGCUUUUCAGUCCCGAUAAAAGAUACCUGGGGCCGAUACAGAGUACCGAUCUGACUCCAGCCUAAAUAAACCCUGUGCUUCAUUGUUUGGAGGAGACUGGGGUGGCCUGACUUGAAGACACACUGAGGGAAUCUUCUGGCGGAAAUGGAAUAGAAAACUCUAUCUAUGUUGUAAUGUGUGCCGAGUUUCCUGCGUAACAAGCAAAAGUUGUGUUUUUUUCUUCCAUGGUUGAUGGCAUGAGUAAAUGUCUGAGCUUGAGCGGAUUUGUUUGGUGGCCGUGACCAAAAGGAGGAAUGUGUUUGAGUGGAAGUGACCAGGUGCUGUUGUUUUUCGCUGAGAAAGGUGAAGAUCUCGAUGUUCUACGGCAGACGGAGACGACACGCAGCCACGUCCACCCUCCUUAACGCGCGCGUUGUCUGACAUGCUGCUGGGGUCCAGACUUUGAGGCCACAGCGUUCGAUUCACGAUAUUUCCACCCUCGUCACACCUCUAAGGAAGUCCCCCACUUCACAGGGGUAACCUGUUCCUGCAGGAUUUUCAUGUCUUUUAUUUAAGUGUGAAUGGUGCGUGUGUGUGUGUGUGUGUGUGCAGUGUUUCAACCGUCUGACUUGGCACGGAAGCCAGUCGAAUCUGGGUUAAUGCUGCACGCGAGCAUCAGCCAAGAUGUGGUGUGUGUGUGUGUGUGUGUGUGUGUAAAGUGUCUGCCCCUAAAACAUGACAUCAUGUGCCUCAGGCACGAUGCAGAGAAGAUCGUCUGGCUGCACAACUCCUCCUUUAGUAAAACUUUCUCUGCAAUUUUCAGCAAUUCAUCAAUUAAAUAUGCAGGCAGUCAGACACUAGUGGGAGGGGGGGGGGGGCUUUUUCCGUGACUACGGCAUGACUUUGACUGGAAGAGAAAUGAUGGGAUUGUUCAUGAAUGAAAUAUCUACAGAGAGGGGGGGUGAACAGAGGAGCUCCAUAGACGGCAUGACUUCUGGAUACACACACUGGCACAUAUCAGGUCCCCAGACGGGAACUUUUGUAUUGGUUGGUUGCACGUGUGGUUCCACCAGUUCGUUUUACUGCUUUUGUCAGUUUUUUUUGUACACGUGUUUUUUUGUAUGUAUAUGUGUUGAUUUCUGAAAGCGUUACAUCAUGUUACUGGCUGGAAACGAACAUCUUCGUCAGAAGGGCGGGCUCCUUUCUUUACACCUUGUCCGGCAUUACGUGCAUUUAAACUAUCGUGCAAAUGGCCGAGGGCCGUCAUAAGUACAUCCACACGUUCAGAUAUUUCGCCGUUGUCGUCGUGUCAUAGUUACAGCUCAUUCUGCUGCCAUCAAGUGGCACAACAGAUCAUUUCCUGCCGCUUUAGGGUCGGUUCUGCUUUGUCCAAGACGAUCGUCAUUUCAGCGAAUGAGCUCACGUAAUGCAGAUGCCUAAAAUGUGUUGCGAGUGGCUAAAUUGUUGUG